AACGAACGCUGGCGGCAUGCCUAACACAUGCAAGUCGAACGAGACCUUCGGGUCUAGUGGCGCACGGGUGCGUAACGCGUGGGAACCUGCCCUUAGGUUCGGAAUAACUCCCCGAAAGGGGUGCUAAUACCGGAUAAUGUCUUCGGACCAAAGAUUUAUCGCCUUUGGAUGGGCCCGCGUUGGAUUAGCUAGUUGGUAGGGUAAAAGCCUACCAAGGCGACGAUCCAUAGCUGGUCUGAGAGGAUGAUCAGCCACACUGGGACUGAGACACGGCCCAGACUCCUACGGGAGGCAGCAGUGGGGAAUAUUGGACAAUGGGCGAAAGCCUGAACCAGCAAUGCAGCGUGAGUGAUGAAGGCCUUAGGGUUGUAAAGCUCUUUUACCCGGGAUGAUAAUGACAGUACCGGGAGAAUAAGCUCCGGCUAACUCCGUG
rnacentral:rRNA from 1 species